rnacentral:rRNA from 1 species
GACGAACGCUGGCGGCGUGCUUAACGCAUGCAAGUCGAACGAUGAAGAAAAGAAUCGAAGCUUCGGCAGAAAUUCAUUUCGGAUUAGUGGCAGACGGGUGAGUAACGCGUGAGCAACCUACCUCUUACAAAGGGAUAGCCUCGGGAAACCGGGAUUAAUACCAUAUAACAUUGUGACGAAGCAUUUCGAUGCAAUCAAAGCUACGGCGGUAAGAGAUGGGCUCGCGUCCCAUUAACCGGAUGGUGAGGUAACGGCUCACCAUAGUGACGAUGGGUAACCGGCCUGAGAGGGUGAACGGUCACACUGGAACUGAGACACGGUCCAGACUCCUACGGGAGGCAGCAGUGGGGAAUAUUGCACAAUGGAGGGAACUCUGAUGCAGCGACGCCGCGUGAGUGAUGAAGGAAUUCGUUUCGUAAAACUCUGUUCUAUGGGAAGAAAAGGACUGUACCAUAGGAGAAAGCUCCGGCUAAAUACGUG